rnacentral:misc_RNA from 1 species
GUGAAUCAUCAAAUCUUUGAACGCAAAUUGCACUCUCUGGUAUUCCGGAGAGUAUGCCUGUUUGAGGGUCAGUUUAAAUAAAAAUCGGUGUGGUUGCAGCCUUUCGUGGUGACGCACCGGAUUUGGGUCGUCUUGCCUUCGGUUAAGCGACUUAAAAUUAUGCAUGAUUUUUUUUGAUCGUAUUUAAAUGAUUUUACGUAUGUUUGCGAUCAUGAUUACUCG